CCUACGGGAGGUAGCAGUGAGGAAUAUUGGUCAAUGGACGCGAGUCUGAACCAGCCAAGUAGCGUGAAGGAUGACUGCCCUAUGGGUUGUAAACUUCUUUUAUAUGGGAAUAAAAUGUUCCACGUGUGGGUUUUUGUAUGUACCAUAUGAAUAAGGAUCGGCUAACUCCGUGCCAGCAGCCGCGGUAAUACGGAGGAUUCGAGCGUUAUCCGGAUUUAUUGGGUUUAAAGGGUGCGUAGGUGGAUUGUUAAGUCAGUUGUGAAAGUUUGCGGCUCAACCGUCAAAUAGCAGUGGAAACUGGCAGUCUUGAGUACAGUAGAGGUAGGCGGAAUGCGUGGUGUAGCGGUGAAAUGCUUAGAUAUUGCGAAGAACUCCGAUUGCGAAGGCAGCUGACUGGCGUGGAACUGACACUGAGGCUCGAAAGUGUGGGUAUCGAACAGGAUUAGAUACCCGAGUAGUC
rnacentral:rRNA from 1 species